rnacentral:sRNA from 1 species
UGACUCUUCCGACUCGUAAAUGCGCGAAAGUCCACAUUUCAUGCAUCAGCAUUUACGGAGCCUUAAAUCAUCGCAC